GGAGAAUUGCUUGAACCUGGGAGAUGGAGGUUGCAGUGAGCUGAGAUCAUGCCACUGCACUCCAGCCUGGACAAUAGAGUGAGACUCUGUCUC
rnacentral:miRNA from 2 species